rnacentral:lncRNA from 1 species
GAGAGAGAGGCCCGGGGUCCAGGGGAGAAAAAAGAUGAAGCGAGACAGAUGAAGACUGAAGCUUGCUGAAUAAACUGCUGUUAGAAGAACUGGUGGUCAUGUCUUUUUGCUGGUUGAGACCAGAUGCGACAGUUGUACUCUUGAUUGUCCUGCCUAUAACUCCCAACAGCUAUGAUUUCAUUGACAUAAUGCAACCAAAUAUCAGACUGGGUGCCGGGAUACCAAUGAAGGACUUAAAGAAAGGCCUGAAGGAACCAAAGGGAUUUGCAACCUCAUAGGAAGAACAACAAUAUCAACCAUCCAGACCUCUCAAAGCUCCCAGGCAACCCCUGUGAAAGGAUUACUGGAACUCCACACUGAGAGCCACUGUUCUACAUUGUUUUCAUUUACUGGCAAGCUCAUCAGCUCUGUUCAAAUCUUCCCAUGAGUUCAUAUUUUGCUGCUACACUACUACUACUACUACUACUACUACUACUACUACUACUACUACUACUGUUGUUGUUGUUGUUUCUGCUACUUGUAGCUUAAGGACAUCAAAACCCAGUGCCUUCAGCCUUCCAGUGUCAAUGUCCAGGAAUCUUCCAGCCCUUCAGUCCUAGACUUGGGCAGCUGAGGUAUCCAACUUCACAGAUUGAACAACUAUUAGUUGUCAGCCUUUCUAGUCUGAAUACAGAUAUUUUUUUCUGCUACAACACCAUAGCAUUGGUAGCCAAGUUAAUACAUAUACUUUUAAUAUCUAUUUAUUCUAGGGAUUCUGAUCUUCUAGAGAAUCUUGGCUUCUUCAAAUAAAAAAAAAUCUGAAAUCAAUUUAAAACCUCUAUACGAAUCAGUAAUUAUGAAGUCAGAAAUCCAUAACCACCAAACUUUUAGAGUAGGUGACACAAUUUCAAGUGUUAUCACAUGUACAAUAUUUUCUUAUAUAUGGCCAUAUAACACAGCUUUCAUCUUUUCUUUUUAUUUCCUACCAUUUACCAUGUAGGUAAAGAGAAAAAACAAUACAAGUAUAUUAGAUUUCUUAAAAUCAUAGGAGAAUUAUAGAAGAAAGUAUUGAAGGUUCAUAAUUUCACCUAAGUAUGAUACCAAGAACACAUAAUUGUUCAAUUAAAGUAAAAAGGGCUUUUACAUUCAAUGUAUGUGCAAAGCUUUGUCAAGAAUGCCAUGUGAAGUGAAUAUAUUAAGACAAGUACAAAGUACAUGUUAAGAGGUAGUUUGUAAAAUAAGAGAAUAAUGAGCAUUCAUAUUUAAUCCUAGCUCUUUAUCUUCAUAAUUUUUAAAAGAACUGAAUAUGGCUGAUGCAAUUAAAUUAAUAGAAGAUUAUACAUCAGAAAGUCAGACAACUCAAUGAAUAGUGAAAUUCAUACCCUAUUGCUGAAUUACUAGUGUUGUCUUGUAUUUAUCACAAAGAUGUAGGUUUUUGAUAUUGUUAAACCAAUUUUAUUCAAGAAACUUUACCAAUAUAUGAGUAUCUACAAAAGAUUGUGAGAAUUACUUAAAAUAGUAACACUGAACGAUAGCUUUUCAUUAUUGCUUCAGCUCUCUUACCAUACACACAAAAACACAAUCAUAUUUUAUAGCCUACUCCAUUAUUCAGCAAUGUACUAAAUGCAUUUUCAUGUCAAUUAAUGAAUAUGUGUAGCUUUUAAAUUCAAUUAUUAUAUUAUGUCAUUAUACAUGAAUAUUAUAAAACAGCUCCUGUUCCCUAAUAUAUUAUUUAAAGUGUUUCAAUGAUUAAAUGUAGGAAACAAAUUUAAUGUAUGUCUAAGGAUGUCUAUAGAGCCUAUGAUUAAAUGCUUCAAAG